CAUGCAAGUCGAACGAUGAGUAUCCAGCUUGCUGGAUAUGAUUAGUGGCGAACGGGUGAGUAAUGCUUAGGAAUCUGCCUAGUAGUGGGGGAUAACCAUCCGAAAGGAUGGCUAAUACCGCAUACGACCUACGGGUGAAAGGGGGCGUAAGCUCUCGCUAUUAGAUGAGCCUAAGUCGGAUUAGCUGGUUGGUGGGGUAAAGGCCUACCAAGGCGACGAUCUGUAGCUGGUCUGAGAGGAUGAUCAGCCACACUGGGACUGAGACACGGCCCAGACUCCUACGGGAGGCAGCAGUGGGGAAUAUUGGACAAUGGGCGAAAGCCUGAUCCAGCCAUGCCGCGUGUGUGAAGAAGGCCUUUUGGUUGUAAAGCACUUUAAGUGGGGAGGAAAAGCUUGUGGUUAAUACCCACAAGCCCUGACGUUACCCACAGAAUAAGCACCGGCUAA
rnacentral:rRNA from 1 species